rnacentral:rRNA from 1 species
GACGAACGCUGGCGGCGUGCUUAACACAUGCAAGUCGAACGGAAAGGCCCUGCUUUUGUGGGGUGCUCGAGUGGCGAACGGGUGAGUAACACGUGAGUAACCUGCCCUUGACUUUGGGAUAACUUCAGGAAACUGGGGCUAAUACCGGAUAGGAGCUCCUGCUGCAUGGUGGGGGUUGGAAAGUUUCGGCGGUUGGGGAUGGACUCGCGGCUUAUCAGCUUGUUGGUGGGGUAGUGGCUUACCAAGGCUUUGACGGGUAGCCGGCCUGAGAGGGUGGCCGGCCACAUUGGGACUGAGAUACGGCCCAGACUCCUACGGGAGGCAGCAGUGGGGAAUAUUGCACAAUGGGCGGAAGCCUGAUGCAGCAACGCCGCGUGCGGGAUGACGGCCUUCGGGUUGUAAACCGCUUUCGCCUGUGACGAAGCGUGAGUGACGGUAAUGGGUAAAGAAGCACCGGCUAACUACGUGCCAGCAGCCGCGGUGAUACGUAGGGUGCGAGCGUUGUCCGGAUUUAUUGGGCGUAAAGGGCUCGUAGGUGGUUGAUCGCGUCGGAAGUGUAAUCUUGGGGCUUAACCCUGAGCGUGCUUUCGAUACGGGUUGACUUGAGGAAGGUAGGGGAGAAUGGAAUUCCUGGUGGAGCGGUGGGAUGCGCAGAUAUCAGGAGGAACACCAGUGGCGAAGGCGGUUCUCUGGGCCUUUCCUGACGCUGAGGAGCGAAAGCGUGGGGAGCGAACAGGCUUAGAUACCCUGGUAGUCCACGCUGUAAACGGUGGGUACUAGGUGUGGGGUCCAUUCCACGGGUUCCGUGCCGUAGCUAACGCUUUAAGUACCCCGCCUGGGGAGUACGGCCGCAAGGCUAAAACUCAAAGGAAUUGACGGGGCCCCGCACAAGCGGCGGAGCAUGCGGAUUAAUUCGAUGCAACGCGUAGAACCUUACCUGGGUUUGACAUGGAUCGGGAGUGCUCAGAGAUGGGUGUGCCUCUUUUGGGGUCGGUUCACAGGUGGUGCAUGCCUGUCGUCAGCUCGUGUCGUGAGAUGUUGGGUUAAGUCCCGCAACGAGCGCAACCCUUGUUCACUGUUGCCAGCACGUUAUGGUGGGGACUCAGUGGAGACCGCCGGGGUCAACUCGGAGGAAGGUGGGGAUGACGUCAAGUCAUCAUGCCCCUUAUGUCCAGGGCUUCACGCAUGCUACAAUGGCUGGUACAGAGAGUGGCGAGCCUGUGAGGGUGAGCGAAUCUCGGAAAGCCGGUCUCAGUUCGGAUUGAGGUCUGCAACUCGACCUCAUGAAGUCGGAGUCGCUAGUAAUCGCAGAUCAGCAACGCUGCGGUGAAUACGUUCCCGGG